UCCCUGGCAGUCCAGUGGUUAAGAUGCUGCAUUUCCACUGCAGGAGGCACAGGUUUGAUCCCUGGUUGGGGAA
rnacentral:tRNA from 1 species